rnacentral:rRNA from 1 species
UACGGGGGGAGCAAGCGUUGUUCGGAUUUACUGGGCGUAAAGGGCGCGUAGGCGGUCGUGACAAGUCACUUGUGAAAUCUCCGGGCUUAACUCGGAACGGUCAAGUAAUACUGUCGGACUAGAGUACAGAAGGGGCAACUGGAAUUCUCGGUGUAGCGGUGAAAUGCGUAGAUAUCGAGAGGAACACCUGCGGCGAAGGCGGGUUGCUGGGCUGAUACUGACGCUGAGGCGCGAAAGCCAGGGGAGCGAACGGG